rnacentral:rRNA from 1 species
AGAGUUUGAUCCUGGCUCAGGAUGAACGCUGGCGGCGUGCUUAAUACAUGCAAGUCGAACGAAGAUAAUAGCAAUAUUGUCUUAGUGGCGAACGGGUGAGUAACGCGUUGGUGACCUGCCCCGAAGAGAGGGAUAACAGUUCGAAAGGACUGCUAAUACCUCAUGUGGUCAAAGAGGUUAGAGUCUCUUUGUCUAAAGGGAGUAAUUCGCUUCGGGAGGGGCCUGCGUCCCAUCAGCUAGUUGGUAAGGUAAUGGCCUACCAAGGCGAUGACGGGUAGGGGACCUGAGAGGGUGGCCCCCCACAAUGGAACUGAAACACGGUCCAUACACCUACGGGUGGCAGCAGUAGGGAAUAUUGGUUAAUGUGGGAAACCGCGAACCAGCAACGCCGCGUGUGCGAUGAAGGCCUUCGGGUUGUAAAGCACUUUUAGAGAGGAUGAGGAAGGACAGUACUCUCUGAAUAAGCCUCGGCUAACUACGUGCCAGCAGCCGCGGUAA